CAGCCGCCGCGGUAAUACGGAGGGGGCUAGCGUUGUUCGGAAUUACUGGGCGUAAAGCGCACGUAGGCGGCUUGGUAAGUUAGGGGUGAAAGCCCGGAGCUCAACUCCGGAAUUGCUUUUAAGACUGCCGAGCUAGUAGGUGAGAGAGGUAAGUGGAAUUCCGAGUGUAGAGGUGAAAUUCGUAGAUAUUCGGAAGAACACCAGUGGCGAAGGCGUUCGACGAGAACGGGCCUGACGGUGAGGGGCGAAGGCUAGGGGAGCAAACGGGAUUAGAUACCCGCGUAGUCCCUGUCUCUUAUAC
rnacentral:rRNA from 1 species